rnacentral:rRNA from 1 species
UGCUAUCACCAUUCCAGAUUGAAUAUACCCGAUCUCGUCUGAUCUCGGGAGUCAAGCAAUCUCGGGCUUG